ensembl:lincRNA
CCCAGGCUUGGUGGGAUGCUGGGUCUCAGUAAACUGGGGUCUCUGCUUCCUGUCCUCUCGUGAGAAGACUGGGGCGGCGCAGCCUCCAGCUCCAGUCUGUUUGUCCAGGGAGUGGGGAGCUGGCGCAGUUUGUCAAGCAGCGGGGGUCGGUGGUCACGCCAGCCCUCUGUGGUCAGGGCCAGUGAGUGUCAGCAGGCGGGACACUGUUUGGACAGAAAGGACCUGCCUUUCUGUCAACACUGCAGCAUUUGUCUCCUGCCGCCCCCGUGGGAGUUUGUUACCGGAAGUCUUUGGGUCUCCCAGGGCAGCGAACACUCUCAAGACGAGCCGCAGGCAGCUGCUGGGCAGGACUCCGGCGUGGUUCCAUUCUCUGGCUUGGCCAAUAAGUCCAAGUCGAGUUUGGUUCAAAGAAUAUUUCUAGUUGUCUACAGGAAAGUUGGAAAGAAAGAAUUGCUUCUGUUGUUUGAUGAGCGGCUUUUGCCAUGCAGGUGGAGGAAGGCUGUGGCCCAGGAAACAGGCGAGUGUACAAACAAAGCAUCUGCUCUAUAAAUAGCUCCCUCCCCCACCAGGCGUGACUCAGGGGACCUGGGCCAGUGGCCCCAACUGUUCAGGCUGACAAAUCCCUUGUUGCUUAUGGAAACAUGGCAAAAGCAGCUUGUAAUUUUUUAUUCUCUAUUCUUGUUUAGGCUUUGGAGAGGGAGAGGGAUGACUUUCCUUCCAUGUCAGAUUAUAACCCACAUCACUGCUGAUCUCGAAAAUCAUCGGAAGACAGAUGUGGAAGGAAUGGAGCUCUGCGUCCUGCCGUUCCAAAGUCCUGAAUGAGCAGGAUCCUGGCUCCAAUAGAAGGAAAAUCAUGCAUAGCUGCUGUGAACCUGUAACCUUGCCACUUUCCCUGUUGAUUGGAGAUGUGAUCUUGGCAACAGGAAAAUCAUCUUCUCUUUUGAAAACAGUGAUUAUUUACAGGGAAAGUGUAGGUUGUUGUUUGUUGCUUAGUCGCUAAGUCAUGUCUGACUCUUUUGUGACCCCAAAGACUGUGUUCCACCAGGGUCCUCUGUCCACGGGAUUUCUCAGGCAAGAAUACUAGAGUGGGUUGUCAUCUUCUUCUCCAGGGGAUCUUCCCAGAUCAAGGAUCAAACCUGCAUUGGUUCUUUACUGCUGAGCUACCAGGGAAGUGCCUUUCAGAGUUCUAGUUCACUCUGAAUGGUUUCCUUUAUAAUUCUGUGUAUUUCAUUAAUUUAAAAACAUUAUGCCAUGAAGGUAUCCAUAGACCUUGCCAGACUGUUCUUCGAAUCCAUGCACAGAAGGUGUUGGGACCCUGUGGGAGGGGUGCACCCUUGGACUGGAGGAGGGCGGAGGCUGUGCAGGUCCUGGCAGAAGUGCCUCUGUUGCCCUCCAUACCAGCAUUUGCAGUGAGGUGGGGGGGGGGUGACCCUCAUUAGCUAUUAGGACAAAUUAUAUGCCUAUUCAUUUAUGUACAGAAUAAUGACACAAUUACAUGUGUGGAAUGUACAUGGAAUUUUGACUUAGAUGAAAUUACCUUUUGAAGCAAUUUUUUUUAAUCGCUUAAAACUGCAAAGGUGAGUUUCUUACAUUCAGUAAGGACAAGUUGAUGUAAAUAGAUAGAAAGACAAGGUUUAGCAGACAAUAUAGCUUAAAAGUUCUUUUUUGGGGGGACUGGUUUUUUGAGGUAGUGAAGCAUGUAGUAAUUCGUGAUAUAACCCCUUUUGGAGUAGGUUGACACUGAUGUUCAAUUGAACUUUGAUGAAUAAUUCAUUUCACAUGCCCAAGUGCAGAUAUAUGAGGCAUUUGAAUCACAGUAGAAUUCACUACCAUGUAUAAAAUAGAUAGGUAGUGGGAAGUUGCUGCAUAGCACAGGGAACUCAGUUGGGUGCUCUGUGAUGACCUAGAUGGGUGGGAUGGGGGUGUGUGGCAGGGAGGUUCAAGAGGGAGGGGAUAUAGGUAUACAUAUAAUUGAUUCACAUUGUUGUACAGAAGAAAAUAACACAACAUUGUAAAGCAAUUAUACUCCAGUUGAAAAACUAAAUUCCUGUACCCAAAGGGGGAAAAAAAAAGAAAUAGAUGAUUAUACUUAACUUCCGUAAUCAGAAUCCAAAGUACCACAACACCAGAAACUUUAACACAAUCGGCAAGAGCAGAAGCAAUUGUAUCUGCUUCACUGGCUGAAGCAAAGUCAUUAAAAAAAGUUUAACAACAAUUUCAUUUCUUGUUAGUUUCUUAUUUUCUCUUAGUUCUUUUGUGUGAUUUUCUAAGCCAGACAGUUUCUUAGGAAGGCAUAUCACGCAGGUAAGGAUUCCAUAGAUUGUGUGUGUCUGAUAGGCAGUCCCACCACCAGCAAGCAUGGGAACUGCUGUGUGUCAGCUGCUCCAUCUGGCCUGGGGAGAUGUGCACGCAGGCUCAGAGUCGUCUGUCUUUCUUUUGCUUCUGGAGAUGGUCCUGUCAUUGGUGAUCUUCUCAGACAACCUAGGACAAUAAUCAGGCCCAUAUUCCCUGGCCAAGAUUCCAUGUGUG